rnacentral:rRNA from 1 species
UGGGGAAUAUUGCACAAUGGGCGCAAGCCUGAUGCAGCCAUGCCGCGUGUAUGAAGAAGGCCUUCGGGUUGUAAAGUACUUUCAGCGGGGAGGAAGGUAUUGAGGCUAAUAACCUCAGCAAUUGACGUUACCCGCAGAAGAAGCACCGGCUAACUCCGUGCCAGCAGCCGCGGUAAUACGGAGGGUGCAAGCGUUAAUCGGAAUUACUGGGCGUAAAGCGCACGCAGGCGGUCUGUCAAGUCGGAUGUGAAAUCCCCGGGCUCAACCUGGGAACUGCAUUCGAAACUGGCAGGCUAGAGUCUUGUAGAGGGGGGUAGAAUUCCAGGUGUAGCGGUGAAAUGCGUAGAGAUCUGGAGGAAUACCGGUGGCGAAGGCGGCCCCCUGGACAAAGACUGACGCUCAGGUGCGAAAGCGUGGGGAGCAAACA